AUUAAGUUUUUUUUUUUUAAUUUAUGCCUUUUUAACUGUGGUAAGUUAAAAAAUGUUUACCACAGAAAAAUGUCACGUACAAAUAAGCAACCACAAACAUGAAACAAUCGAAUAGUGGGGUAUGUGGAAUAUGUUCAUUCACAGCCAUAUUUAUGUUUUUGCCAUCGUAGCGGAUGUUUUUGCAAGACAAUUUGUUUGAGUUUAUUUCAUGGUACAAUCCUUUUCGAUGAUUUAUUUAGUUAUUUUAAUCUGGAAGAAGUGUUUGCAAAUUUUCCUUGGGAUGAUAAAUAACGGAUCGACUGGGAUUUUAUUCCAAUAAAAGUACCUACGAAAUAACUAAAUAAAAUAUUGCUGCGUAAUUGGUUAGGUGCUGUUCCAAUUUUAUGAUUUUAGAGAUGAAAAAGCGAUACGCGAUGCUUUGAAGUUGGUCGUGAAUUCGAGACAAAAUUUUAAAUUCAAUGACAUCCUCGUGGAAGGAGCACGUCGCAUUGCUAGAAUCAGCAAAGAAGCUGGUAUACAACGUUUGAUUAUUUGUCUGCCUUAAACGCUAGUCCCAAACCAAUGACUUUGUGCUUGAAGGUGGAAGUAAGUUUUUGAAGAGCAAAUUCCACGGUGAAUGUGCUGUUCGGAUGUUGCACAAGCUAUUGUCAAUUGCGCUAGGAAUCCCUAUCAAGCUGUUGGAUAGGUUUUGAGCAAAAUUGAAUUUACAUACUUUCUAAUAUGCUAAAAACUGAAGACCCACCCCCAUUGAAUGAUUACAUUGUGUUAUGGGUAAAGAUGAAAAAURGUGGGGAUACCGUCGUUAAGGCAUGCGUUGCGAUCCUACUUUCCUAUUGAAAGUCAAGUUUACUGAGCUUAUCUGUCCUGGACAAUUUUUUGCUGAGCUACAUAUGGAACGUAUCGAUCGCGAAUGUAUUACCGAUGUCAUCUGGGUGUACAAUUGACCUCCAUGGAAGAGCAAGUACCAUGGGAAUUGCGACCAUAUCGUGCUGCGCAAUAUUAUGAUACCGAAUUGGGAGAGUUGGAAGAAUCAGCUCCAUCAAAACCGUUAGAACAUCAGGAAGAACUACGUAUGUUUGCAUAAAACUACUAUAAUGRCAACAACGCUAACAACAACAGCCCAGCAAAUAAUAAACAACACUCAUCAAAUAAAAGUUGGUGGCGUUGAUGGCCAAGCAGCGAUUUGAAAAGAAACAUUUGGAUCUAUGCGAAUUACAAUUCGUCUUUACAUCUAGUGAAUUAUGGUCGAUUAUGAUUAGUGUGGAAGUUGAUAUUUAAACUUUAAAAAACAAAUAAACGUAAUUUGGCUAAUAAUGAACUCAUAUUAAAAAUUAAA